rnacentral:rRNA from 1 species
AACGAACGCUGGCGGCAUGCCUAACACAUGCAAGUCGAACGAGAUCUUCGGGUCUAGUGGCGCACGGGUGCGUAACGCGUGGGAAUCUGCCCUUUGGUUCGGAAUAACAGUUGGAAACGACUGCUAAUACCGGAUGAUGACGAAAGUCCAAAGAUUUAUCGCCAGAGGAUGAGCCCGCGUAGGAUUAGCUAGUUGGUGUGGUAAAGGCGCACCAAGGCGACGAUCCUUAGCUGGUCUGAGAGGGUGAUCAGCCACACUAGGACUGAGACACGGCCCCGACUCCUACGGGAGGCAGCAGUGGGGAAUAUUGGACAAUGGGCGAAAGCCUGAUCCAGCAAUGCCGCGUGAGUGAUGAAGGCCUUAGGGUUGUAAAGCUCUUUUACCCGGGAUGAUAAUGACAGUACCGGGAGAAUAAGCUCCGGCUAACUCCGUGCCAGCAGCCGCCGUAA